GAUGAACGCUGGCGGCGUGCCUAAUACAUGCAAGUCGAGCGAACAGACGAGAGUGCUUGCACUCUCUGACGUUAGCGGCGGACGGGUGAGUAACACGUGGGUAACCUACCUAUAAGACUGGGAUAACUUCGGGAAACCGGAGCUAAUACCGUAUAAUAUUUAGCUUCGCAUGAAGCAAUAGUGAAAGACGGUUCUGCUGUCACUUAUAGAUGGACCCGCGGUGUAUUAGCUAGUUGGUGAGGUAACGGCUCACCAAGGCAACGAUACAUAGCCGACCUGAGAGGGUGAUCGGCCACACUGGGACUGAGACACGGCCCAGACCCCUACGGGAGGCAGCAGUAGGGAAUCUUCCGCAAUGGACGAAAGUCUGACGGAGCAAUGCCGCGUGAGUGAAGAAGGUUUUCGGAUCGUAAAACUCUGUUGUAAGGGAAGAACAAGUACGUUAGUAACUGAACGUACCUUGACGGUACCUUACCAGAAAGCCACGGCUAACUACGUG
rnacentral:rRNA from 1 species